rnacentral:rRNA from 1 species
AUGCGGCGAACGGGUGAGUAACACGUGAGCAACCUACCCUCAACUUUGGGAUAAGCCUCGGAAACGGGGUCUAAUACCGGAUAUGACUACGGACUUCAUGGUUUGUGGUUGAAAGUUCUGGCGGUUGGGGAUGGGCUCGCGGCCUAUCAGCUUGUUGGUGGGGUAAUGGCCUACCAAGGCUUCGACGGGUAGCCGGCCUGAGAGGGCGACCGGCCACACUGGGACUGAGACACGGCCCAGACUCCUACGGGAGGCAGCAGUGGGGAAUAUUGCGCAAUGGACGAAAGUCUGACGCAGCAACGCCGCGUGAGGGAUGACGGCCUUCGGGUUGUAAACCUCUUUCAGCAGGGACGAAGCGAGAGUGACGGUACCUGCAGAAGAAGGACCGGCCAACUACGUGCCAGCAGCCGCGGUAAUACGUAGGGUCCGAGCGUUGUCCGGAAUUAUUGGGCGUAAAGGGCUCGUAGGCGGUUCGUCACGUCGGGAGUGAAAACUCGGAGCUUAACUCCGAGCCUGCUUCCGAUACGGGCAGACUAGAGGUAGGCAGGGGAGAGCGGAACUCCU